rnacentral:rRNA from 1 species
GAUCAUUAUUGAAAUAAACCUGAUGGGUUGCUGCUGGUUCUCUAGGGAGCAUGUGCACACUUGUCAUCUUUAUAUCUCCACCUGUGCACCUUUUGUAGACCUGGAUAUCUUUCUGGAUGCCUAUGCAUUCAGGUUUGAGGAUUGACUUUGCAGUCUUUCCUUACAUUUCCAGGCCUAUGUUUCUUCAUAUACCCCAAUGUAUGUCAUAGAAUGUAAUAAAUGGGCCUUUGUGCCUAUAAAUCUAUACAACUUUCAGCAACGGAUCUCUUGGCUCUCGCAUCGAUGAAGAACGCAGCGAAAUGCGAUAAGUAAUGUGAAUUGCAGAAUUCAGUGAAUCAUCGAAUCUUUGAACGCACCUUGCGCUCCUUGGUAUUCCGAGGAGCAUGCCUGUUUGAGUGUCAUUAAUAUAUCAACCUCUUCAAGUUUUGCUUGUUGAGUGUUGGAUGUGGGGGUCUUUUGCUGGUCUCUUUUGAGGUCGGCUCCCCUGAAAUGCAUUAGCGGAACAAUUUGUUGACCGUUCAUUGGUGUGAUAACUAUCUACGCUAUUGACGUGAAGCAGUUCAGCUUCUAACAGUCCAUUGACUUGGACAAAUUUUCAUUAAUGUGACCUCAAAUCAGGUAGG